GGCCUGUUGGAGAAGCGGUUUAACUCAUAAGCCUCUCAAGCUUACAUUCACGGGUUCGAACCCCGUACAGGUCACCA
rnacentral:tRNA from 1 species